rnacentral:lncRNA from 1 species
UCAUGGAGGGCUCAUGUAUACCACACCACCGUUCAUAGAUAAUGAAAAAAUAUUUCAUCUCAGCUGACAGUUUCACAAUUAGGGUCAUAAAAGGAAAAUAGAUACCAUUACCAUCCCUUAAAUCAUAUGAUUACAAUAUAGUAUGAAAAUUGCAUCGAAGGCCAUCAUCCAACUUUUGCAUUAUGAAUAGAGUUCAAUAUGCAUUUUCCUCGAAGGUCAUU